UGCCAGCAGCCGCGGUAAUACGUAGGGUGCAAGCGUUGUCCGGAUUUAUUGGGUUUAAAGGGUGCGCAGGCGGUCUAUUAAGUUAGUGGUGAAAUCGUACGGCUUAACCGUAUACCCGCCAUUGAUACUGGUAGACUUGAGUGCAAUAGAGGAAGCUGGAAUGCGUGGUGUAGCGGUGAAAUGCUUAGAUAUCACGCAGAACACCGAUUGCGAAGGCAGGCUUCUAUGUUGCAUCUGACGCUGAGGCACGAAAGCGUGGGUAGCGAACAGGAUUAGAUA
rnacentral:rRNA from 1 species